AGAGUUUGAUCAUGGCUCAGAUUGAACGCUGGCGGCAUGCCUUACACAUGCAAGUCGAACGGCAGCACGGGGGCAACCCUGGUGGCGAGUGGCGAACGGGUGAGUAAUACAUCGGAACGUGUCCUGGAGUGGGGGAUAGCCCGGCGAAAGCCGGAUUAAUACCGCAUACGACCUACGGGUGAAAGCAGGGGAUCGCAAGACCUUGCGUUAUUGGAGCGGCCGAUGUCAGAUUAGCUAGUUGGCGGGGUAAGAGCCCACCAAGGCGACGAUCUGUAGCUGGUCUGAGAGGACGACCAGCCACACUGGGACUGAGACACGGCCCAGACUCCUACGGGAGGCAGCAGUGGGGAAUUUUGGACAAUGGGCGCAAGCCUGAUCCAGCCAUGCCGCGUGUGGGAAGAAGGCCUUCGGGUUGUAAACCACUUUUGUCAGGGAAGAAACGGCUCUUACUAAUAUUAGGAGAUAAUGACGGUACCUGAAGAAUAAGCACCGGCUAACUACGUGCCAGCAGCCGCGGUAAUACGUAGGGUGCGAGCGUUAAUCGGAAUUACUGGGCGUAAAGCGUGCGCAGGCGGUUAUGCAAGACAGAUGUGAAAUCCCCGGGCUCAACCUGGGAACUGCAUUUUGUGACUGCAUGGCUGGAGUGCGGCAGAGGGGGAUGGAAUUCCGCGUGUAGCAGUGAAAUGCGUAGAUAUGCGGAGGAACACCGAUGGCGAAGGCAAUCCCCUGGGCCUGCACUGACGCUCAUGCACGAAAGCGUGGGGAGCAAACAGGAUUAGAUACCCUAGUAGUCC
rnacentral:rRNA from 1 species